AGCUGGGUUUACAGCCGCUCCGCCAUUGUUUAUGUUUGCUGGUGCUGCUGAAGGCGCUCAGUACUGGGUACUGAAGUUGCGCUCGAGCGCUCGUCCGCUGCAGCGCGCCGUCCAGAAGCUCUGCGCUGCGCCACAAUAACUAACCCGCUCCGUGGAUGGUAAAUCCGUUUAACCCUUCAGUGGGAGGGCUGUUAAGGUCAUGUUUUCCUGGACUGCAUGCACCAGCCAAGCAACUACCAUAGAGAUGAAGUGCUAUGCUAACAAAUAGAUCUCCAGAAUGUUUAAAACAACUGAUAAGUACUGUACUACAAAUCACUCAGAAGCAUCUCAGUGUGAGGGUCCUGGAGGAAAGGUAUACAGCAGCAGUAUCUCAGAAAACAACAUGAGUGGCUCUAUGGAACGACUUGUCCACACCUUUGCAGUCAACAAAGAAGCACAAAACCUGGAACAUCCACUGUAAGAACCAAGCUGCUGAUGAUAACAUGGACAGUUGCUGUCUUUUCUCUUUGACUGUCGUCAUGGAAACUGAUCAACCGGGUAUUGGAGGCCAGGUGAAGUGUCUGCUUGCCUCCAGCGAGCCAUCUGAAAAAUGACAAAACAGAGCGCAACAGGUGUUUUACAAUCAUCCUUCUCUGACAAAUGCUCUAGUUAGAUUUUAAAAGAUAAUCAAUUAUAAUAAUUAGAAGCAGAUUGAUUUUUAACCUUCCAUCUACUAAAAUGUGUAAUAAAUAGGUAUAAUAAUGGAUCA
ensembl:lncRNA